rnacentral:rRNA from 1 species
CCUACGGGAGGCUGCAGUGGGGAAUUUUAGAUAAUGGAGGGAACUCUGAUCUAGCGACGCCGCGUGCAGGAAGAAGGUCUUCGGAUUGUAAACUGCUGUGGUAAGGGAAAAAUGCUAUGUAGAGUGGAAAGCUACAUAGAGGGAUGGUACCUUACUAGAAAGCCCCGGCUAACUACGUGCCAGCAGCCGCGGUAAUACGUAGGGGGCGAGCGUUACCCGGAAUCACUGGGCGUAAAGGGAGCGUAGGUGGCCUAACAUGUCAACUGUGAAAACCCGGAGCUCAACUCCGGACUUGCAGUUGAAACUGGUAGGCUUGAGGACGGUAGAGGAAGACGGAACUGCCAGUGUAGGGGUAAAAUCCUUAGAUAUUGGCAGGAACGCCGGUGACGAAGGUGGUUUUCUGGGCCGGUUCUGACACUGAUGCUCGAAAGCCAGGGGAGCGAACGGGCUUAGAUACCCUUGUAGUC